UGAGGAACAUGACCUUCGGCGGGGGAUAGCCAGCCCAACGGCCGGGUAAUACCGCGUACGACCACAUGGGGACAUCCCUGAGUGGUGAAAGCAGCAAUGCGCCGAUGGAGUGCCUCGCGGCCUAUCAGCUAGUUGGUGGGGUAACGCUCACCAAGGCGACGACGGGUANCUGGUCUGAGAGGACGGCCAGCCACACGUGGGACUGACGACGACCGGGCCCAAGACCUCCGUAGGGACG
rnacentral:rRNA from 1 species